ensembl:lncRNA
CUGAAGCGCCCGCAGGUGCCUGUGCCUGUGUAUCCCGACAAUAAACCAAAUCCUCUUGCUGAUUGCAUCCUGUGGUGUCUCGGUCUGGUCUUUGGAGUUGGAGGGUCUCCAUCCUGAGGGAAAGUUCUCCCUGAGAGCUUUUCAUUUGGUGCGUUGGCCGGGAAAGGAGAUCCUCCACCCAGGGACCACCGACCACCCACUGGGAGGUAAGCCGGCCGACGUCUGUCUGUCUGUCUAAUUUUGUCUCGUUCUACCUUAUUCUGUCUGUUCUGUGAGCGCUCAGCCAGGUCUGUUCUGUGAGCGCUCAGCCAGGUUGUUUGGAAUUUGGGCGGGACGAAGAAGGAGCUGACGAGCUCGGACUUCUCGCCCCGCAGCCCUGGAAGACGUUCCAAGGGAGUUGGGGCCCGACUUUUCGAGGCCCAAUCUGGGAGAGGAGAAAGAUCCGGACUAACGGCACCUCUGUCUGUAUUUUUGGCUUUCAGAGGGCCCCGGACCUUUGCCACCUCUAUCUGAGAAAGAUCCGGACUAACGGCACUCUGUCUGUAUUUUUGGCUUUCAGAGGGCCCCGGACUUUUGCCACCUCUAUCUGACUUUUUGCUUUCAGUUUGGUACCAAAGCCGUGCAGCACGCCUGUCUGUUGUUUGUUUGACUGUUGGUGUUGUUUGUUUUCUCUGUGUUCUAAUCUUCCUUAGAACUAACAUGGGACAGUCCCUAACAACGCCCCUAAGUCUCACUCUUGAUCAUUAGAAAGACGUCCACGACCGGACACACAACCAGUCCGUCGAGGUUAAAAAAAAGGAAAAUGACAGACUCUCUGCACAUCCGAGUGGCCCACUUUUGGAGCGGGAUGGCCAAUGAAUGACACAUUUAAUAAGAUCAUUAUUUUACAGGUUAAAGAUCGGGUCGUCCACGGACAUCCUGACCAGGUUUCUUAUAUUAUCACUUGAGAGAGUCUCGCCUUAAACCCCCCCCCAGGUGGAACCCUUCGUGGACCCGAAUUGGCCUCCCCUCAACCCCCAGCCUGUCCCCUCGGCCCCGCCCGGUCCGCCGGCCACGUCUUCCUCUCUCUACCUUUGUGAAAUCAGAGCCUUCUAAGAAACCUGUCCUCCCGGCAGACCCAAACUCCCCUCUCAUAGAUCUUCUCUCUGACAGGCCCGGCUAAAACGGAGGAGGCAGAGCCGCCGGCCAGAUCAGUUGCCGGGCCACAGU